UACGUAGGGUGCAAGCGUUGUCCGGAUUUAUUGGGCGUAAAGAGCUCGUAGGCGGUUCAGUAAGUCGGGUGUGAAAACUCUAGCUCAACCUGGAGACGCCACUCGAUACUGCUGUGACUUGAAUCUGGUAGGGGAGCACGGAAUUCCUGGUGUAGCGGUGAAAUGCAUAGAUAUCAGGAGGAACACCGGUGGCGAAGGCGGUGCGUCUGGGCCAGUAUUGACGCUGAGGAGCGAAAGCGUGGGUAGCGAACAGG
rnacentral:rRNA from 1 species